UUGCGACGCAAAGCAAAACAAACAGGACGAAGACCUCAGGCGGGUUGAUUUCCGAUGCUGUAGCGAACAUGUUGCCCACCAAAGAGACGUUCAGAGCGGCAGAGAUAGCGAGAAGCGGUGGGCAAGAGUAUAAGGUUCUUCAUAUCUACCCAAAGAAAGGAACCAAUAUUUUCCCUAAGAGGCGACUGUGUGAGGUUGAGUCUAAAUCUGGGGAAAAAGUCAUUAUUAAAGCCAAGCAUUCUGGUAUUGUUACCCAAGUACUCAUCAAAGUUGACGAUACAAUUGAAGAUGGGUGUGACAUACUGGAACUUGAAGCCUGUACUCACACAGCCCUUAUGGGAAAUAUUUGUUGUGAUUGUGGUGUUUGCCUGGAUGAAAAAGACAUCCCAAAGACAGAAGCAGUCAGCAUGCUUCACUCUGUACCUGAUCUUAAAGUAGCUAGAAAUGAGGCCCGAAAACUUGGACAAGAAGACAUUAAUAACCUGUUGAAGCAGCGGAAGCUGGUGUUACUGGUGGAUCUGGAUCAGACAUUGAUCCACACUACAAACGAUAAUAUUCCUGCAGAUUUGAAGGAUGUUUGUCACUUCCAAAUCAACUACGGUGGCCCUUGGUAUCAUGCUAGACUGCGGCCACAUACAAAAACAUUUCUAGAGAAGAUAUCAAAGUAUUAUGAGCUUCACAUUAGUACAUUUGGUGUGCGGGAAUAUGCUCAUCACAUAGCUCACUUCUUGGAUCCAGAUCGGAAGUUAUUUGGCCAGCGGAUCCUUUCCAGAAAUGAAUGCCUUGAUAUGAUGUCCAAAAAGGCUAAUCUUGACUCUCUCUUUCCAUGUGGGGAUAACCUUGUUUGUAUCAUCGAUGACCGCACAGAUGUGUGGAAUUACUCUCCUAACGUUGUCCAGGUGGUUCCCUAUCAUUUCUUCCGACACACUGGUGAUAUAAAUGCACCACAAGGAUUACAGAAGAAAGAAAAUGAUGACCGUGAAGGAAUAGACUUUAUCAAAUUGAAAAAUGAAAAUAUUAAAACUGUUGAAUUUCCAACUGAAGAUGAUGCUCAGGCUUUGGAAGGUGUUGACGAAGACAAAAACUACAGUUCAGAUUCCGACAGCGAUAAGGAUUCCAAAGAAAUGUUAACUGAAGCUUCAGAUAAUAAUAGUGUAAACUCCAAUCAAGAUAAAAUUGAUGCAGUUAUUAAUCAUGAUAUAAAAGAGACUAAUGGAAAUGAUGAAAAAGUUAAUAAAUUGUCGGACAACAACUGUACUAAAGAGGAAAACAGUUCAGAAAGUACUUUGUUACCCGAUUCCCUGGCAGAGAGUAAUUUAAGUGACGAUAGAGUUGGAGAUGAUGCUAAUACGAAGACAGACCAUAUUGAUCCAAAGCCAAAUAGUGAAAUGGAGAAUACUGAUAAUGAAGAGGUGAAAUCAAAAGAGGUUGAUAAAAGAAAUAAGAAAAUUACUGAAAAAGAUGCAGUUACUAAGAAAGAGUUGAGCAGAAAAGAAGCUGAAGUGGAAGGCAGUAAGCGAACAUACGGGAAAAAUUCCAGUCGGUCAAAGAGAAGUGAUGAUAACGUAUUUGAUGUUUCAGACAGUGAUGACUAUUUGUUGUACUUGGAAGAUAUCUUAAUAAAAAUUCACAAAAGAUUUUUCAUGGAAUAUGAUGCAUCUCAAGAACAGUGUAAUUCCAAUGAAGAUAAUCCUCUACCUGACUUGAAAGUAAUUGUUCCUUCAGUUCGCAGAGAAGUUUUGAAAGGUGUGAAUAUUGUAUUCUCGGGAGUUGUUCCACAGCAAACAAAGUUGCAAGAAUCCAAAGCUUAUUUUAUUGCCACAAGCUUCGGAGCAAAUGUAACUGAAAAAAUAAUUCUGAAAGAUAAAAGUGAUACUGAAGAUGAAAAGAAUAUGUAUACAACUCACAUGGUUGCGGCAAACCGGCGCACAGAGAAAGUAACUUCUGCUCGAAAGCAUAAAUCUUUACUAAAGAUUGUGACUCCAAACUGGUUGUGGAAAUGUGCUGAGAGGUGGGAACUAGUUGAAGAGAAACUAUUUCCUCUGAGCAAGGAGACAGAGAAGGAAAUCCAUCGUCUUCCACCGCACCACUGCUUCUUUCCUGAUCCUUCCUGGCUAAAGCAUAACUCUCUUACAGACAAACCCAGGCCCAAGCGGCAGAACCAGAACAGCCAGUGGAACACUUUUGCAAGAUGUAAAUCCUCUGAUGUUCUUUAGCCCUGAUGAGAAGAAUAACAUGGCUGAUGAGGUGGAGCAAAUUCUCAGUGAUGAAGAUGAUGGUUUCCAUUCCCUGGAACUGUUGGAGAAGAGGCCCAUGCCAGAGGUCUCUACUUUGAUGGGGUCCUAUUCCUGCUUCGGGAGGACUUCUUCCGAGUUGAUCC
rnacentral:misc_RNA from 1 species